rnacentral:rRNA from 1 species
GAUGAACGCUGGCGGCGUGCCUAAUACAUGCAAGUCGAACGAACGGACGAUAAGCUCUCUUCUUUGCUGUUAGCGACUGACGGGCGAGUGACACGUGCAUCACCUUCUUCUUUUACUUGGAUAACUUCGUAAAGCCGCUUCUGCUACCGGCUCAUAUUUUGUACCGCAUGGUUCAAAAGUUCUUCACACCUUUCCUGUCACUUAUAGCUGAUUCCGUGCUGGAUUAGUUAGUUGGUAAGGUAACGGCUUACCAAGGCAACGAUGCGUAGCUGACCUGAGAGGAUGAUCAGCCACACUGGAACUGAGACACGGUCCAGACUCCUACGGGAGGCAGCAGUGGGGAAUAUUGGGCAAUGGGCGAAAGCCUGACGGAGCAAUGCCGCGUGAGUGAAGAAGGCCUUCGGAUUGUAAAGCUCUGUUGUUGGGAAAGAAAAGAAGUGGGAUAAUACGUGGAUAUCCUGACGGUACCUAAAGAGAAAGCAACGGCUAACUACGUG